AACGAACGCUGGCGGCGUGGAUAAGACAUGCAAGUCGAGCGAUCAUUAGCGGGUAGCAAUAUUCGUUAGUGGGAGCGGCGCAAGGGUGCGUAACACGUGGGUAAUCUGCCAUGAGGUUCGGGAUAAUCCCGCGAAAGCGGGACUAAUACCGGAUGUGACAGCUGGAGGGCAUCUUCUGGCUGUUAAAGUUGGGGACCGUAAGGCCUGACGCUUCAUGAUGAGCCCGCGGCCUAUCAGCUAGUUGGUGAGGUAACGGCUCACCAAGGCUAAGACGGGUAGCUGGUCUGAGAGGACGACCAGCCACACUGGAACUGAGACACGGUCCAGACACCUACGGGAGGCAG
rnacentral:rRNA from 1 species